GGCAACGUGCCGGAGUGGUUAACGGGUCAGACUUGAAUGGCCGUAGCAUCUUGGCAUCUGCGGAUCAGUUAUCUGAUGCUUUCGAGCGCACAGGUUCGAAUCCUGUCGUUGUCG